UACGUAGGGGGCAAGCGUUGUCCGGAUUCAUUGGGCGUAAAGAGCUCGUAGGCGGCUUAGCAAGUCGGGUGUGAAAACUCCAGGCUCAACCUGGAGACGCCACCCGAUACUGCUAUGGCUAGAGUCCGGUAGGGGACCACGGAAUUCCUGGUGUAGCGGUGAAAUGCGCAGAUAUCAGGAGGAACACCAAUGGCGAAGGCAGCUCGCUGGGACGGUACUGACGCUGAGACGCGAAAGCGUGGGGAGCAAACAGG
rnacentral:rRNA from 1 species